rnacentral:misc_RNA from 1 species
AAGUCGUAACAAGGUUUCCGUAGGUGAACCUGCGGAAGGAUCAUCAACAAAUCUAUAAUGUAUGUGCUGUGUGUAUGUGUGUGUGUGUGUGCACCUGUAUGGUGUGUAUACACAUAUACUACUACUUCACAUAUAUAAACCAAUGUGAAUUGUGUGUGUAUGUUUGUGUGUGUGUAUGUGGAAAAGUUUAGGCUUCCUCCAUAUAUAUAUAUGCUAUAUACACGCACUUGUUCUAUAGUGAAAUCUUCUAUAGCAAUAUAGAAGCUCUUUCUCAAUAGAAAUUAUUUUAUUGUAUCGUUGUUGCUUUUAAACACAACUUUACAGUAAUAUAUAUAAACGAGUCACACAGAGUCAGAAUAUAAAAACUAAAAAUUUAUAUAUACAACUUUUAACAAUGGAUCUCUUGGCUCUU